rnacentral:rRNA from 1 species
UCUGGUUGAUCCUGCCAAAAGGUAACUGCUAUCGAGAUUCGACUAAGCCAUGCGAGUUGAAUGUUCUUCGUGAACAUGGCGGACUGCUCAGUAACACGUGGACAACCUACCCUUGGGUCUGGCAUAAUCCUGGGAAACUGGGGAUAAUUCCGGAUAGGCCACAGAUGCUGGAAUGCGCUGUGGCCGAAAGCUCCGGCGCCCAAGGAUGGGUCUGCGGCCUAUCAGGGUUGUAGUGGGUGUAAUGUACCUACUAGCCUACGACGGGUACGGGUUGUGAGAGCAAGAGCCCGAAGAUGGAUUCUGAGACACGAAUCCAGGCCCUACGGGGUGCAGCGGGCGCGAAAACUUUACGAUGCGGGAAACCGUGAUAAGGGAAUCUCGAGUGCCAGCAUAUAAUGUUGGCUGUCCAGAUGCCUAAAAAGCAUCUGUUAGCAAGGGCCGGGCAAGACCGGUGCCAGCCGCCGCGGUAACACCGGCGGCCCGAGUGGUAACCGCUUUUAUUGGGUCUAAAGGGUCUGUAGCCGGCCAAGUAAGUCCCUUGGGAAAUCUGGCAGCUUAACUGUCAGGCUGCUAGGGGAUACUGCUGGGCUUGGGACCGGGAGAGGUGAGAGGUACCUUGGGGGUAGGGGUGAAAUCUUGUGAUCCUCGGGGGACCACCAGUGGCGAAGGCGUCUCACCAGAACGGGUCCGACGGUAAGGGACGAAAGCUAGGGGCACGAACCGGAUUAGAUACCCGGGUAGUCCUAGCCGUAAACGAUGCUCGCUAGGUGUCAGUCACGGUGGAACCGUGAUUGGUGCCGUAGGGAAGCCGUGAAUCUUACUUCUCAUGGGAAGUAUGGCCGCAAGGCUGAAACUUAAAGGAAUUGGCGGGGGAGCACUACAACGGGUGGAGCCUGCGGUUUAAUUGGAUUCAACGCCGGAAAUCUCACCGGGGGCGACAGCAAUAUGAAGGUCAGGCUGAAGACCUUACCCGAUUAGCUGAGAGGUGGUGCAUGGCCGUCGUCAGUUCGUACUGUGAAGCAUCCUGUUAAGUCAGGCAACGAGCGAGACCCACGUCCACAGUUGCCAGCAUACCCUCCGGGGUGAUGGGUACACUGUGGAGACCGCCGCUGCUAAAGCGGAGGAAGGAGUGGGCGACGGUAGGUCAGUAUGCCCCGAAUCUCCCGGGCUACACGCGGGCUACAAUGGUUGGUACAAUGGGCAUCUACCCCGAAAGGGGAAGGAAAUCUCUUAAAGCCAAUCGUAGUUCGGAUUGAGGGCUGCAACUCGCCCUCAUGAAGCUGGAAUCCGUAGUAAUCGCGUUUCAACAGAACGCGGUGGAUACGUCCCUGCUCCUUGC